GCAGGGUUUGUGCUGCUCUUCUCUGCAUCCCUGGUGCUUCCCCAAAGCAUGAGGCACAAGCCAGGCAUGCUCUGCCCCAGCUGCACACAUAGAUGUGUCUGCCUGUUCCCACCUUUCUGUCAUCUCAUCAAAAGUCGGUUCCUGAGAGACUGAAUUUCCAAAGCAUUUUUUGUCGAACAGCACAAACUUUAAGUCCCAGCUCUCUCUCCAGCUUGUCGUCUCACUCUACCAGCAGUUGCAGGCUUUGAUCAUCACACUUUCCAUUAUGCAACUUGAUUAAAGAUAUUCAGAUCUCAAGCUAGGAAUAAGGAGCCCUAAGAAAUCUGACAGAAGGCAUGACCUCUGCUAACCUUUUCCUGUGGCUGGGCCACAAAGCAUCAGCCAGGAGCUGCACCAUGGGAUGCUGGAGUGAGGACAGAGGCAGGACCUGCAGUUCCCUCUCUGGACAGAGCUUGCCUUUGCCUCCCUAAUGCUUGGAAUAACAGUUCUUUGUGUGAUCAAUGACACUCAUCAUAUUUCUGAUAUCAAUGAGGAGAGAUCAUGAGAAGCCUUGUUAGCUUAACUUAGUCUGGAACAUCACAGUCAGGCCACUGGCAAGGCUCUUUGACACAGGAUACAGCAUCCAGGAAUAUUCCCGUGUGCCUUCACACUCCCUUUGGUCCCUAGCUCCCUGUGGCAAGGAUACCAUCACAGAUACGUGGGGAAGGUAACUCUGAGUAGGAACAAGUUGCAGUGAUGCAGUCUUGUUAUUAAUUGGGGGCCUGUGGAAAAUGAGAGAUGUGAGAUGAGCAGCAGGAGAGGGAUUUUCUUGGAUAUUGUGCUGCAGCAGCAGAAGACUGGACUUAGUCCUAUGGCAAACUGCAGAGACACAGUGAGUGUUACUGAAUUCCUAUUUUACCUACUUAUCUGGAUUCCAUGAGGAAAGCAAACAGUGAUGUUGUGGAGACAGAGGGAUGGCUGUGCUCUCUCAGGUUCUGUAUUUUGGGUACUUAUCUUCCAGUAUUGUCAAGUGGAUGGAAAUACAGACAGCCAUGAAAACAAGUGUUAUAAAGAGAUUUGUAGGUGGAGCUUUGCCCUUCUUUGGGAAGUCUGCCUGCCAGUUUAUGUGAACCAAACCCGGGAUAAUGCUUGUUCAUCUGUUUUAUUCACUGUAGUUUAGCUGUAAUUAUCUACACUUUACACCAUAUUAGUAAAUCUACUCCAGAAUAUUAUAUUAAA